rnacentral:piRNA from 1 species
AAUGUGAGAAGGGUGUCUGUUAUG